AGGGAAAGUUGAAAAGCACUCUGAAUAGAGAGUUAAAUAGUACGUGAAACCGCUUAGGGGUUAAGCCUGAUGAACCCGAAUAUUUGAAAUGAGAAAUUCAUUAUUAUUCAGUAGUUUCAUUCGAAGCGAACAAUGAUAUGCACUUUUCUCAGUGUAAAACAUUGCGAUCUAUUUGUAUAUCCGUAUGGAUGGUUUAUCAAAUGGCCCGUAUGGUUUGUUCAUUCCUAUCUGUGACAUUUUAUGUCAUAUGGUUGAUGCCAUAGCGGUGACCUGGUAAACAGCAGAUAGUUUUUAAAAAUCAUGCAACCACAUUUUAUGUGUAUCACGGUUUAUGUGCUGUUUACAGUGCGUGAAUGCGGUGAUAGCAUGCAUUUGAUKGGCAAUGCGAUAGGUUUGGGAACCUUCAGGACCCGUCUUGAAACACGGACCAAGAAGUCUAACAUGUGUGCGAGUCAUUGGGUAUAUUGUUGAAACCUAAGGGCGCAAUUAAAAUAACUAUUUUAUGGGAUUACAAGUGAAUUAAAUUUCAUUUCUUCAUCCCGGGGCGUUCUAUACGAACAUGGUCCAAGCAAUUGAACCCUCUGUUCAAGAGCGUACCUUGAGCAUACAUGCUGUGACCCGAAAGAUGGUGAACUAUACCUGAUCAGAUCGAAGCCAGGAGAAAUUCUGGUGGAGGAUCGAAACAGUUCUGACGUGCAAAUCGAUUGUCAGAAUUGGGUAUAGGGGCGAAAGACCAAUCGAACCAUCUAGUAGCUGGGGUUUAGAUAUAUUGUGCCCAGUGGGCCACUUUUGGUAAGCAGAACUGGCGCUGUGGGAUGAACCAAACAUGAUGUUACGGCGCCUAAAUUAAUGACUCAUAUUGAUACCAUGAAAGGCGUUGGUUGCUUAAAACAGCAGGACGGUGGACAUGGAAGUCGUAAUCCGCUAAGGAGUGUGUAACAACUCACCUGCCGAAGCAACUAGCCCUUAAAAUGGAUGGCGCUCAAGUCAUAUGCCUAUACAUCAUCGCUAGAAUAAAAAUUGUUGACCGUUUGGUCAUCAUUAUGAAAUUCUAGUGAGUAGGAGGGUACAAUGGUGUGCGCGGAAGUGUUUGGCGUGAGCCUGCAUGAAGCCGCCAUUGGCACAGAUCUUGGUGGUAGUAGCAAAUAAUCGAAUGAGAUCUUGGAGGACUGAAGUGGAGAAGGGUUUCGUGUGAACAGUGGUUGAUCACGAGUUAGUCGGUCCUAAGCUUUAUGCGAAAGCUGUUUAAUUUAUGUUACAUACAAAUUUUGUGCUGUACAUAAUUCAAUAAAAGCGAAAGGGAAUACGGUUCCAAUUCCGUAACCUGUUGAGUAUACGUUUGUUUAUUAAAAAUGGGUCUUAUUACACUCAUCCUGGCAACAGGAACGACCAUAGAGAAGCCUUCGAGAGAUACUGGAAGAGUUUUCUUUUCUGCUAAACAAACGUAUCACCAUGGAAGUCUUUUAUAGAGAGAUAUGGUGAAUGGCUUGGAAGAGCAUGACAUUUACUGUUGUGUCAGUAUUUUCUCCUUGGACCUUGAAAAUCUAUGGUGGGGCCACGCAAACUUUCUCAACAGACCGUACCGAUAUCCGCAGCCGGUCUCCAAGGUGAAGAGUCUCUAGUCGAUAGAAU
rnacentral:rRNA from 1 species